AACGAACGCUGGCGGCAUGCCUAACACAUGCAAGUCGAACGUGAUCCGUGCCUUCGGGUGCGGUGAAAGUGGCGCACGGGUGAGUAACGCGUGGGAACCUGCCCAAUGGUAGGGAAUAACCGCGGGAAACUGCGGCUAAUACCCUAUGAGCCCUACGGGGGAAAGAUUUAUCGCCGUUGGAGGGGCCCGCGUCGGAUUAGGUAGUUGGUGGGGUAAUGGCUCACCAAGCCUUCGAUCCGUAGCUGGUCGGAGAGGAUGAUCAGCCACACGGGGACUGGGACACGGCCCAGACUCCUACGGGAGGCAGCAGUGGGGAAGAUGGGACAAUGGGGGCAACCCUGAUCCAGCAAUGCCGCGUGAGUGAAGAAGGCCUUAGGGUUGUAGAGCUCUUUCGGCGGGGACGAUGAUGACGGUACCCGCAGAAGAAGCCCCGGCUAACUCCGUGCCAGCAACCGCCGUAA
rnacentral:rRNA from 1 species